rnacentral:rRNA from 1 species
AUUGAACGCUGGCGGAAUGCGUUACACAUGCAAGUCGAACGGCAGCACGGACUUCGGUCUGGUGGCGAGUGGCGAACGGGUGAGUAAUACAUCGGAACGUGCCCAGUCGUGGGGGAUAACGUAGCGAAAGCAACGCUAAUACCGCAUACGAUCUAAGGAUGAAAGCGGGGGACCGUAAGGCCUCGCGCGAUUGGAGCGGCCGAUGGCAGAUUAGGUAGUUGGUGGGGUAAAGGCUCACCAAGCCGACGAUCUGUAGCUGGUCUGAGAGGACGACCAGCCACACUGGGACUGAGACACGGCCCAGACUCCUACGGGAGGCAGCAGUGGGGAAUUUUGGACAAUGGGCGCAAGCCUGAUCCAGCCAUUCCGCGUGCAGGAUGAAGGCCCUCGGGUUGUAAACUGCUUUUGUACGGAACGAAAAGGCUCUGGUUAAUACCUGGGGCUCAUGACGGUACCGUAAGAAUAAGCACCGGCUAACUACGUGCCAGCAGCCGCAGUAA